rnacentral:rRNA from 1 species
UACGGGGGGUGCAAGCGUUAUCCGGAUUUACUGGGGUUAAAGGGUGCGUAGGCGGACCAUGUAAGUCAGGGGUGAAAUCCCGGGGCUCAACCCCGGAACUGCCUUUGAUACUACUGGUCUUGAAUGUUGUUGAGGUGGGCGGAACGGGUCAUGUAGCGGUGAAAUGCAUAGAUAUGACCCGGAACACCGAUUGCGAAGGCAGCCCGCUAAGCAACCAUUGACGCUGAGGCACGAAAGCGUGGGGAUCAAACAGG